CAAUAGCCUAAAGGCUGAACCAGCAACUUGAAGGAAUGUAUAUUGACUCUGAUCAAAUAAAAUUCUGGGUGGAUUGUGAUUAUGACAUUUUCUAUUCAUGUGUCUGGACCAAAUUACGUGCCAGCAGUCGCGGUAACACGUUACAGACUAGUGUUAUUCAUCUUUAAUUGGUUUAAAGGGUACCUAGACGGCUAAUUAUGCCCAAAAGAGGGUACUUCUAAGCUAGAGUUUUAUAUAAGAGGGCAUAAAAGUACUGAUGAUGUAGAGAGAUGAAAUUCUGUGACACGAUAAAAGGCACAGGUAUAGGCGAAAGCAUCCCGUUAUGUAAUAA
rnacentral:rRNA from 1 species